UCUGGCGACCGGCGCACGGGUGAGUAACACGUAUCCAACCUGCCCUUUACUCGGGGAUAGCCUUUCGAAAGAAAGAUUAAUACCCGAUAGCAUAAUGAUUCCGCAUGGUUUCAUUAUUAAAGGAUUCCGGUAAAGGAUGGGGAUGCGUUCCAUUAGGUUGUUGGUGAGGUAACGGCUCACCAAGCCUUCGAUGGAUAGGGGUUCUGAGAGGAAGGUCCCCCACAUUGGAACUGAGACACGGUCCAG
rnacentral:rRNA from 1 species